UACGGAGGAUGCGAGCGUUAUCCGGAUUUAUUGGGUGUAAAGGGAGCGUAGACGGUUAUGCAAGUCUGGAGUGAAAGGCGGGGCUCAACCCCGGACUGCUCUGGAAACUGUAGAACUAGAGUGCAGGAGGGUAAGUGGAAUUCCUAGUGUAGCGGUGAAAUGCGUAGAUAUAGGAGGAACACCAGUGGCGAAGGCGGCUUACUGGACUGUAACUGACGUUGAGGCUCGAAAGCGUGGGGAGCAAACAGG
rnacentral:rRNA from 1 species